AUGCCGAUGUCCACGGAAGCCGUAAAACUCGAUUCAAUGUCCUCAAAGUCCCCGUUGAUCUCUCUAUUGCAUCCAUUCCACUUCCUAAGUCCUAACAUCUACGCACUCUAUCCCACUCCUCGCCGGCCGGCCAUGGCGACGAUGCCGAUGCGCACUCCCCGAUCUAUUCUCCUGCUCCUCCUCGCCACCUCCUUCUUCCUCCUCCUCCCCAACCCCUCCUCCGCCUCUGUCUCCCACCCGGACCUCAUCCUGCCCAAGGCGGUCAACGACAACGAGGCCCACGUGGUCGUCCUCACCGCCGCCAACUUCUCCUCCUUCCUCGCCGUCCGCCGCCACGUCGUGGUCGACUUCUACGCGCCCUGGUGCUACUGGUCCCGCAAGCUCGCCCCGGAGUACGCGGCGGCGGCGGCGCACCUGGCCGACAAGGGGCUCGACGUGGCACUCGCCAAGGUCGACGCCACCCAGGACCGUGACCUCGCGCGCGCGCACGGCGUCGACGGAUACCCCACCGUCCUCUUCUUCGUGGACGGCGUGCCCAGGCACUUCCCCUACUACGGCGAGAGGACCAAGGACGCCAUGGUCACUUGGAUAUCCCAGAGGCUGGGCCCUGAGGUGCAGAACGUCACCACCAUCGACGAGGCCAAGAAGAUCAUCAACGGCCACGGAGAUGAUGGAGAGGAUCAGUAG
rnacentral:rRNA from 1 species